GAUCAAGUGUCUUAAGGGCAAUUGGUGGAUGCCUUGGCAUGCACAGGCGAUGAAGGACGUGAUACGCUGCGAUAAGCUACGGGGAGGUGCGAAUACCCUUUGAUCCGUAGAUUUCCGAAUGGGGAAACCCACCUAAGGUACUUGGAAAAUCAGAGCAGCCGGAAGGUCGCAAGGCCGACUUGCUGCUGUGGUUUCCAAGUAUCGAUAAUAGGUAACUUACCCUGAAUACAUAGGGGUAAAGUGGCGAACGCGGGGAACUGAAACAUCUAAGUACCCGUAGGAAAGGACAUCAACCGAGACUCCGGAAGUAGUGGCGAGCGAACCCGGACCAGGCCAGUGGCGAUUGAGAGACAAGCGGAACCUUCUGGAAAGUAGGGCCAUAGUGGGUGACAGCCCCGUACGCGUAAUGCAAUCAAUCGUCCUCGAGUAAGGCGGGACACGUGAAAUCCUGUCUGAAAUUGGGGGGACCACCCUCCAAGCCUAAGUACUCGUGCAUGACCGAUAGCGAACUAGUACCGUGAGGGAAAGGUGAAAAGCACCCCGACAAGGGGAGUGAAAGAGUACCUGAAACCGAUUGCCUACAAACAGUGGAAGCCCAAGGUUCGUCCUGGGUGACCACGUACCUUUUGUAUAAUGGGUCAGCGACUUAGUGUGACGAGCAAGCUUAAACCGCUAGGUGUAGGCGCAGCGAAAGCGAGUCUGAACAGGGCGUUCAGUUCGUCGCAUUAGACCCGAAACCGAGUGAUCUAGCCAUGAGCAGGUUGAAGGUAAGGUAACACUUACUGGAGGACCGAACCCAUAACUGUUGCAAUAGUUCGGGAUGACUUGUGGCUAGGGGUGAAAGGCCAAUCAAACUCGGAAAUAGCUGGUUCUCCGCGAAAUCUAUUUAGGUAGAGCGUCGACCGAAUACCCCAGGGGGUAGAGCACUGGAUGGGCUAGGGGUCCUCACCGGAUUACCAAACCUAACCAAACUCCGAAUACCUGGGAGUACUAGUCGGCAGACACACGGCGGGUGCUAACGUCCGUCGUGAAAAGGGAAACAACCCUGACCUACAGCUAAGGUCCCCAAGUUAUGGCUAAGUGGGAAAGGAUGUGAGGAUCCCAAAACAACCAGGAUGUUGGCUUAGAAGCAGCCAUCAUUUAAAGAAAGCGUAACAGCUCACUGGUCUAAAUAAGGGUCUUUGCGCCGAAAAUGUAACGGGGCUAAAGCCAUACACCGAAGCUUAGGGUUUGGUCCGCAAGGGCCAAGCGGUAGCGGAGCGUUCUGUAAGCUGAUGAAGCCAUACCCGUGAGGGGUGGUGGAGGUAUCAGAAGUGCGAAUGCUGACAUGAGUAACGUAAGGGGAGUGAGAGACUCCCCCGCCGAAAGACCAAGGGUUCCUGCUUAAAGCUAAUCUGAGCAGGGUUAGCCGGCCCCUAAGACGAGGCGGAAACGCGUAGUCGAUGGGAACCACGUUAAUAUUCGUGGGCUUGGAGGUAGUGACGGAUCAUUGAGGUAGUCCAAUCUUAUCGGAUUGAACGGGCUGCUGCGUGGUUCCAGGAAAUAGCUCCUCCUUAUAAACCGUACCCGAAACCGACACUGGUGGUCUGGUAGAGUAUACCAAGGCGCUUGAGAGAACUAUGCUGAAGGAACUCGGCAAAUUGCACGCGUAACUUCGGAAGAAGCGUGACCCUUUUCUACGCAAGUAGAGGAGGGUGGCACAGACCAGGGGGUAGCGACUGUUUAUCAAAAACACAGGGCUCUGCGAAGUCGCAAGACGACGUAUAGGGUCUGACGCCUGCCCGGUGCUGGAAGGUUAAGAGGAGGGGUGCAAGCUCUGAAUCGAAGCCCCAGUAAACGGCGGCCGUAACUAUAACGGUCCUAAGGUAGCGAAAUUCCUUGUCGGGUAAGUUCCGACCUGCACGAAUGGCGUAACGACUUCCCCGCUGUCUCCAGCAUAGACUCAGUGAAAUUGAAUUCCCCGUGAAGAUGCGGGGUUCCUGCGGUUAGACGGAAAGACCCCGUGCACCUUUACUAUAGCUUUACAUUGGCAUUCGUAGUGGCAUGUGUAGGAUAGGUGGUAGGCUUUGAAACCUGGGCGCCAGCUCAGGUGGAGCCACCCUUGAAAUACCACCCUUAUUACUAUGGAUGUCUAACCGCGGCCCGUUAUCCGGGUCCGGGACAAUGUAUGGUGGGUAGUUUGACUGGGGCGGUCGCCUCCUAAAGAGUAACGGAGGCGCGCGAUGGUGGGCUCAGAACGGUCGGAAAUCGUUCGCUGAGUGCAAUGGCAUAAGCCUGCCUGACUGCGAGACUGACAAGUCGAGCAGAGACGAAAGUCGGUCAUAGUGAUCCGGUGGUCCCGCGUGGAAGGGCCAUCGCUCAACGGAUAAAAGGUACGCCGGGGAUAACAGGCUGAUGACCCCCAAGAGUCCAUAUCGACGGGGUUGUUUGGCACCUCGAUGUCGACUCAUCGCAUCCUGGGGCUGGAGCAGGUCCCAAGGGUAUGGCUGUUCGCCAUUUAAAGCGGUACGUGAGUUGGGUUCAGAACGUCGUGAGACAGUUCGGUCCCUAUCUGCCGUGGGUGUAGGAAUAUUGAAAGGAUCUGUCCCUAGUACGAGAGGACCGGGAUGGACGGAUCUCUGGUGGACCUGUUGUGGCGCCAGCCGCAUAGCAGGGUAGCUAUAUCCGGACGGGAUAACCGCUGAAGGCAUCUAAGCGGGAAACCCACCUUAAAACGAGUAUUCCCUGAGAACCGUGGAAGACGACCACGUUGAUAGGCCGGGUGUGGAAGAGCGGCAACGCUUGAAGCUUACCGGUACUAAUAGUUCGAUCGGCUUGAUCGUUCUCAUU
rnacentral:rRNA from 1 species